CGAUCUCAAAUCAAGUUAGACUACCCGCUGAACUUAAGCAUAUCAAUAAGCGAAGGAAA
rnacentral:rRNA from 1 species